CUACGGGUCGCAGCAGUGGGGAAUAUUGGACAAUGGGGGAAACCCUGAUCCAGCAAUGCCGCGUGUGUGAAGAAGGCCUGCGGGUUGUAAAGCACUUUCGGUUGGGAGGACUGCUUCUAGCACUAAUAUUGUUGGAAGUUGACGUUACCUUCAGAAGAAGCACCGGCUAACUCCGUGCCAGCAGCCGCGGUAAUACGGAGGGUGGCAAGCGUUAAUCGGAAUUACUGGGCGUAAAGCGCGCGUAGGCGGCUAGAUCAGUCGGGUGUGAAAGCCCCGGGCUUAACCUGGGAACUGCAUCCGAUACUGUCUAGCUUGAGUAUAGGAGAGGAGAGUGGAAUUCCACAUGUAGCGGUGAAAUGCGUAGAUAUGUGGAGGAACACCAAUGGCAAAGGCAGCUCUCUGGCCUGAUACUGACGCUGAGGUGCGAAAGCGUGGGGAGCAAACAGGAUUAGAUACCCUCGUAGUC
rnacentral:rRNA from 1 species